AGACUGCUGUGGCGGGUAGCCAUCAUAC
rnacentral:sRNA from 1 species